rnacentral:rRNA from 1 species
UACGUAGGUGGCGAGCGUUGUCCGGAUUUACUGGGUGUAAAGGGCGCGUAGGCGGGAGUGCAAGUCAGAUGUGAAAUCCAUGGGCUUAACCCAUGAACUGCAUUUGAAACUGUAUUUCUUGAGUGUCGGAGAGGUAGACGGAAUUCCUAGUGUAGCGGUGAAAUGCGUAGAUAUUAGGAGGAACACCAGUGGCGAAGGCGGCCUGCUGGACGACAACUGACGCUGAGGCGCGAAAGCGUGGGGAGCAA